rnacentral:rRNA from 1 species
AGAGUUUGAUCCUGGCUCAGGACGAACGCUGGCGGCGUGCUUAACACAUGCAAGUCAAGGGUCUUUCGGGACACUGGCGCACGGGUGCGUAACACGUAGGCAAUCUGCCACAUACACGGGGAUAACGGUUCUAACGGGCUGCUAAUACCCGAUACGCCAAAAGGAGGCAUCUCCUUAUGGUGAAAGGUUUCGGCUGGUAUGUGAUGAGCCUGCGUCUGAUUAGGUAGUUGGUGAGGUAAUGGCUCACCAAGCCAACGAUCAGUAGCUGGUCUGAGAGGAUGAUCAGCCACAUUGGAACUGAGACACGGUCCAGACUCCUACGGGAGGCAGCAGUGAGGAAUAUUGCGCAAUGGACGAAAGUCUGACGCAGCAACGCCGUGUGUGGGAUGACGGAGCUAAGCUUUGUAAACCACUGUAGCUUGGGAAGAAAGCGCCCCUCGGGGGCAGGGACUGUACCAAGAAAGUAAGCACCGGCUAACUACGUGCCAGCAGCCGCGGUAAUACGUAGGGUGCAAGCGUUGUCCGGGAUUACUGGGUGUAAAGGGUGCGCAGGCGGGAAUGUCAGUCAGAGGUGAAAUCUACCGGCUCAACCGGUAAACUGCCUUUGAUACUGCAUUUCUUGAGUUUGAGAGAGGUCGGCGGAAUUCCACGUGUAGCGGUGAAAUGCGUAGAUAUGUGGAAGAACACCAGUUGCGAAGGCGGCCGGCUGGCUCAUAACUGACGCUCAGGCACGAAAGCGUGGGUAGCGAACAGGACUAGAUACCCUGGUAGUCCACGCCCUAAACGAUGUAUGCUUGAUGUUGGAUCCAUAAGGAUUCAGUGUCGGAGGAAACCCGUUAAGCAUACCACCUGGGAAGUACGAUCGCAAGGUUGAAACUCAAAGGAAUUGACGGGGGCCCGCACAAGCGGUGGAUCAUGUGGUUUAAUUCGAUGCAACGCGAAGAACCUUACCCGGGCUCGAAAUGUAGGUAGUACGACCCCGAAAAGGGAAGGAUAGGUUCAGUCCUAAGCCUAUAUAGGUGCUGCAUGGCUGUCGUCAGCUCGUGCCGUGAGGUGUUGGGUUAAGUCCCGCAACGAGCGCAACCCCUAUCGUUAGUUGCCAGCACGUAAUGGUGGGCACUCUAGCGAGACUGCCUGCGCAAGCAGGAGGAAGGCGGGGACGACGUCAAGUCAUCAUGGCCCUUACGUCCGGGGCUACACACGUGAUACAAUGAUUGGGACAGAGGGCAAAGCCGCGAGGUGGAGGAAAUCCCUAAACCUAAUCUCAGUACGGAUAGGAGUCUGCAACUCGACUCCUUGAAGCUGGAAUCGCUAGUAAUCGCAAAUCAGCAAUGUUGCGGUGAAUACGUUCCCGGGCCUUGUACACACCGCCCGUCAAGCCAUGGAAGUUGGGGGUGCCCGAAGUCGCCGAUGAGGUGCCGAAGGCAAAACUGAUAACUAGGGCUAAGUCGUAACAAGGUA